AUGUGUAACGUUUUUAGUGAGGUAUUUUGUGAUGCAAAACGAGUGCAUACUCAUGAUCAGUAUGUACGAAUGUGGAAUACUUUCAAUUUGAUCCCGAGCAUUCGGGAUUCAUUGCGGGACUCAAUAUUUCUCAAUUUAGAAUUUUUCAUAGUUACAUUAUUCUACGGCAGGUCCGACGCAAUGACAAUUGGUUAAAAAAGAAUAAUUUUGUGUUGAGCAAAAUUUGUAUCGGUGGUGUUUUUUCUAUAUCAAAUCGAAUACAAGAAAUAAUUGAAAUUUAAGUUGAGUCGAUUCAAAUUCACCCUUGACAUUACGACAAAAGCUCCAAAGAGUAUAGAAACAGGCUAGCGAAGAAGAAAUCUUGACUUAAAUGGCGGCCGAACCAGAUGCGAACCCGACAAGACACCUUCGGGAAGUGGGACUAGCGAGUUUGGUGGAAGACAAUUCACGAUGACAUGCAGCACCACAAAGGCUUACAUAUAUCAACACCCAAACGGAGGAUAAUGUACUACAUGCGUCGCCAAUCUUUGGAGUUUACCCCGAUGAAGGUUAUGUAUUUAAGCCCUCGUUGCACUCUCGCCAUCGCCAUUAGUUUGCCAGGAAGAAGAAACAGAUGCAAAAGAAAGAGGGGCUGAAAAAGAGACAACUUCAGCACCAAAGGGUCGCCACGCUGAUUUUUUUAAUGUGUUAGCCAUCUACCUUACCAAACAUUCAAAAGAUUUCCAAGACCAGCUUAAAGUACAAAUUUUAAAUAUAAUUUUGAGAGAUAGCAAAUUGAGUGGAUGUGCUUCACUCUUUUACGUAUUUAACAGCCAAUGGAUUGUGAAUGUAUGUAUGUAUAUAUGUCUGUAGGUUUUAUAAUUUUAUUUUUUAUUUUAUUUAACAUGUUAAUGCCAUUGCGCGAAUUUAUAAAUUCAUUAGUUAUUUGAUACAUUUUGAUUUAUUUCAAAUAAAUUUCACAAUGAUCAAUUUUUUGUAUUAACGAUUCCUAUUCAUUUUUCAAAAGCGUUCCAUAUUAGCUCCUAGUAAAUAUAACAGGAUACCAAUAAGCAUUUUUCAUUUUAUAAUUCAAAUGCCAUAGCUGAAUGGGCUGGUGUGUGACUACCUUUCCUAAGUGCGUAGGUUCGAAUUUGUAUGGAACACCAAAAUGAUAGUAUGAGUUUUUUCUAAUAGCAGUUAGCCCUUGGUAGGCAGUGGUAAAUCUCGGAGUGUAUUUCUGUUAUGAAAAACUCCUCAUAAAAAUAUUUGCCGUUCGUCCUCGGCUUAUAACUGCAGAUCUCUCCAUUUGUGGAUCAAAAUCACGACGCACGCCACAAAAAGAAGGAGUGGCUCGGCCAAACAUCCCAAUUAUUUAUUUAUUUAUUUUAAUACAACUUAUUUUAAGAAGCAUUUUACA